AUUGAUAUGAUCAGCAGAAAAUCUGGCGUGUCACAUGCUGUUUUUCUUAAAAAAAAAUCAAAAACUAUUUUGAAAUAGUCCCAUGUUUAACUGCAAUGUGUGCUGCUGUGCUUUACUGUUAGUCCUGAUGAAGGAUCUCGGCCCAAAACGUCGACUGUACCUCUUCCUAUAGAUGUUGCCUGGCCUGCCGCGCUCCACCAGCAUUUUGUGUGUGUUGCUAAGAUACUCUUAAUGCUUUAAUACUAAAAACAAGCAUAGUCGAGACAUAAACUGAUAUAUGAGAAGCAACUAUGAGACGGGAGUAGAUCACCUACCACCCAAUGAAGAUUGUAAUGUGCAUCGAGAAGAAAGGAGACCAGCAUAGGCACUGUCAUCUUCAGCCUGACAAAUCCAUUGAAGAUAAACCCACUGUCCUUGGUACCAUUCCUUUAGCAGAUACAUCACUAACAGCAAAGCCGUCUCAGUUUAUCAAAGGAGUUGUAUUCAAGGAUUAUGUGUUUAAAUUAGGUGGUCCUGACACCGAUUCGAUGUGGCCAUUUCAGGAGGAUGUUCUGCUACCAUAUCAUUUUUGGGUCACUUAGAACUGGCAGUUGUAGCAAUAAAUUAAUUUGUAUAUUCCGGCACCAUCUGCUCACCAGCCUCUUCAUGGUCCAUAUUUGCAUUGUUAGUCAGACCGCGAUUCACUGCCGCAACAGAAAUUACGAUUCUUCUCCCAGGAGUGUCAACAGUCGACAAAAAAAAUCACUUUUAUCACAAAUCUUGAAUGCGGUGAAUACCUCAUUAUUAACUGCAUUCAAGUGGCAACUCAACACUUCCAAAUCAAGGUAUCCUGUCAACUGCAAAAGACCACACACUCUCAGUGUGCAGUGACUUGUGGAUUGUUUGCAUCAGCUCUGAAUUCCCUGGCAGUUUACCUGCAUUUUGUGUUCCUUUGUUCCAAGAGAUGUGACAGGAAGGUGGCUUCUCUUAAAAAAGAGGAGCUGACCUCUGCUGAGAAUGCAGUAGUGAGAUGAAGCAUAAAAGUGAGUUUUAUCUGCGGACUUCCAAGCAAUGCCCCCGAUUAAAAUGUCAAAUGUAUCUUAUUCAGAGGCUUCUGGUGUUGUUAUUCCAAUCAGUGUAGUGUAAAUAAACUUUUCUCAAUACCGAGCAAACUGUAGGUGAGGAAAUGGGACCUGAAAGCCAAUGGUAGCAAAAUGAUUUCUUGAAUUAUCCACUUGGAGCUCCCUUCCACUAAGCUUUUCUCUGUUCCCCCAUAAGUGAAAAUUACCCCACAGAAAUAAGCCACUCCUUUGUUUAUUCUACACGUUCUGUACAGCGGUAGUCUUUAAUCUAUAUUUUAGGUGACUCACUUUAACCAAAUGAUUCACCAUUUCACUGAACAAUGAGAGAUUCUCCUGUCACGGAUUCAGUGCUUCCUUAAAGGGACAAUGAUCCAAUUUUUUGAACAAGUAUCAGUGAUCAUCAGCAAUAAUUUUUUGAAGAUUAUAAACUUCUUUUAGAAAUGUAUAACCACUUUGCACUACAAUUGGCUUUAUUCUUUCAUUCUCAUUUUCUUAUUCCUUGUAUAAUUUUGCAUAAUUUAUGUUUAAGUAAUAUUCUGGUGGGGAGGAGAUACGUCUCCACCAAAGGAGGUGUAAGGUGCUCCUUCCCUCCGCCAGCCUGCAGGUCACCCUAGGGCAAGGUGCAGCACCUGCUUAGUCCCCCGAUCAGGGUCACAUGAAGCCAUGUGAGCAGGUGCUGGAUAGUCGUAUGAGCAGCUGGUGCAUAUUACAAAUUCUGGUUAUGCAACCACCAAUGCCAGGGAGACAGUUUCUGAAGAGUAUUCAUAAUGGCUGGGGUCACCUAUCCUGUAAAGACACUGCCAAAAAGAAGGCAAUUGCAGACCACUUCUUUAGAACAAUUUGCCAAGAAUAAUCAUGGUCAUGGAAAGAUCAUGAUUGCUUACAUUAUUUGACAUGGCACAUAAUGAACAAACGAGCGAGUGAAUACUGUGUCUUUAACAAAGAAGAGAAAAUUUGCAAAUGCUGGAAAUCCAAGCAAAACACACAAGAUGCUGGAGGAACGCAGCAGGCCUGGCAGCAUCUAUCCCACCGCCGUUUAAAUCUACUCCUCAGCCUUUUCUCUCCAGUCCUGCCGAAGGAUUUCUGCCCAAAACAUUGACUGUACUCUUUUCUAUAGAUGCUGCCUGGCCUGCUGAGUUCCUCCAGCAUUUUGUGUGUGUUGACUGUGAGUUUAAUGCUAUGUGUCUCUGAUGCCGUUGCAAGUAAGUUUUCAUUGCACACCUACAUUCAUGUAUUUGUAUUCAUGCUAAUAACCUCAACUUAACUUGGACAAAUACUAGAAAUGAAGUACUUCUUGCAUUUUUCUACAUAUAUAUUGACCUCAGGCUUCAUGGAGAGGUGCUCCUUUGCACAUCUUCAAUGUGAUAAAUCUCUCACCUGCCCUCUGCUUAUUUCCCAGCAUAUCCCAGGGUGACACAGGAACUCAGCUACCUCACAACUCCAGUCAGCCAGGUACAAUCGUGACUUCUGGUGCAGUCUGUACAGUUUGCCUGCUCUCUUGUGAUGGCAUGAGCUUUCUCCAGUAUCAUAAAGACAGAUGGGUUAAUAGGUUAAUUGGCCCUGGCGUGCAGGUGAGUGGGAGGAUCCGGGGGAAGUUGAUAGGAACAUGGAGGAAUUAAAACUGGAAUGUGCACUGUAAGGCCUGUUUCUGUGCUCUAUGACUAUGUAAUUGAAGCACCUGCUGGUAUUUGACUAACAUGGUGCUUAACCCUGAUUUAGGUCAAUCAAAACUUGCUCUGCAUCUCCACUCUGAAAUUAGUGUUGCCCCAAAUUCUGAGCCUUUCCUCUUAGCACAGAAAGAGAUUAGAACAAUGAUGUUAUAAAGAAAUAAAAUGGAAGAAAAAUGACAGAUCUAGAGUCUAGCAACUUUGGUGAUAAGAAACCAUGGAUCAGGACUGGGGAACUAUACAAACUUUCAGAAGAUAUCAAACUGAUAACUAGUUGAUGGAAUUGUCAAAAGGUUAAUUUUAAAACUUCUAGAAUGAACAGAAUAGCAUGAAUUAAAUGUGAAUAAGGACUUAAGUUACUGGCGAUUUAUAUUCCUUUCCUACCCUUGCUCUGUUCUGUUGAUUUGAAAAUCAAGUUUUUCAUUUAUUCAACCGUGAAACCUUUUUGCAAUAUAGUUAUUUAAAUUGUUGGAAGAAUUAUUUUAAUACAAGGUACUUACCUUAUGGUGUAAUUUGUCCUUUUAGCCCUAUCUAAUAAUAAGUAAAAUAAUCAAAUGUUAGUUUUCCUCUCAGCCCCAUCAUUCUUAUUUAACAGGUUUUAACAGGAGACUACAUUCAAACCUGGAGGCUUCUCAUUAUUAGCGAACUUAUCCUUUUGUAUCUCCUAAAGGUUGAAAUAUGAAAGAGAAAUUAUGUCCUUCUGGUUGAUAAAAAAUAAAUCUGACACUAAUUUAUAUAUUAACCUGGUACCCCAAGGAAUUUAGUGGUGCUGGACUAGAAGAUUACUGGAUAGUACCCCGAGGAAUAUUUCAAGAGAAUUUAAUUAUAUUCUUUAAAAUGUUAUAAAGAUGUAUAAUUAAUUUCUUCUCCAUGUUUUUAAAGUGAGAAUUGGAACAAAUGAA